rnacentral:rRNA from 1 species
UUUAAUUGAAGAAUCAUUUGGGUUAUUGUAUUUUGUGAUUUAAUUUUUUAAACGAUAGUUUAUUUGUACUGUGAAGGGUGGAUUAUUAUUUAAUGUUUAUUUAAAAGUUGAUUUUAUUUGUUGUACCUUGUGUAUCAGGGUUUAUUGAAUUUUAUUAUUUAUUUUUAUUUCCCGAUUUUGAAGGAGUUAAUAAUUUAUGUUAGUUACUGUUUUAGUAGUAUUAAUAAUAAUUUAUUGGUAAUGAAAUGUUAUUCGUCUUUGGUGGUCUCUGGUUUUUCAAGAAAUGAAUUUAAUUCAUACAUCUUAUUUAAUUUCUGUUGUUUUCUAUUUAUUUUUAUUUGAUGUUAAGAUUAAGGGGGAUUAGCUCCUUAUUUUAUUUUUAUAAUUUUUUUUUAUACUUAGUUUUGUGGAUUUUAUGGUGAUUUUCAAUUUGAUUAUGUUAAAAUUUUAUUUGUUCUUUUGUUUAUUUUAUUUUAUUUAAUUUUUUAUUGAAACGUUUGUUUUAAUCUAUGGUUGCAUGGUGAUUAUUGUGAAAUUAGUAAAUUUAUUUUUUAUGUUGUAUAUUGAAUGUUAAUUUCUUUUAAGGAAUUAGGCAAAUUUUUUAUGUUCGCCUGUUUAACAAAAACAUCUUUUCUUGUUAGUUUUUGAAGUAUGGCCUGCCCACUGACUUUGAGUUGAAGGGCCGCGGUAUUUUGACCGUGCAAAGGUAGCAUAAUCAUUAGUUCUUUAAUUGUGAUCUGGUAUGAAUGGCUUGACGAGAUAUAAGCUGUCUUAAGAGUAUUGUUUAUUGAAUUUAGUUUUUGAGUUAAAAUUCUUAGAUGUUUUUAUGGGACGAGAAGACCCUAUAGAGUUUGACAUUUGUUUUGUUUAGGUUUAGUAGUUUGUUUUAUUUAUAUAAGCUGAAUUAAUGUUUUGUUGGGGUGAUGGGAGGAAUUUAUUUAACUCCUCUUUGCUUUUGUAUAUUUAUUUAUAUUUUGUUUGAUCCAUUUAUUUUGAUUAUAAGAUUAAAUUACCUUAGGGAUAACAGCGUUAUCUUCCCUGAGAGUUCUUAUUGGCGGGGGGGUUUGCGACCUCGAUGUUGGAUUAAGGUGAAUUUUUGGUGCAGGAGCUGAAGUUGAUUGGGUCUGUUCGACCUUUAAAACCUUACAUGAUCUGAGUUCAGACCGGCGUGAGCCAGGUUGGUUUCUAUCUAUAAAUAAUUUUUAUACCUUAGUACGAGAGGACCGGGUAUUUGGAAUAAUUUUGUUUAAUAUGAUUGUCAUUAAUAU